rnacentral:rRNA from 1 species
AGCGUAGGCGGACAUUUAAGUCAGGGGUGAAAUCCCGGGGCUCAACCUCGGAAUUGCCUUUGAUACUGGGUGUCUUGAGUAUGAGAGAGGUGUGUGGAACUCCGAGUGUAGAGGUGAAAUUCGUAGAUAUUCGGAAGAACACCAGUGGCGAAGGCGACACACCGGCUCAUUACUGACGCUGAGGCUCGAAAGCGUGGGGAGCAAACA